AAGGCUUCAGUUUUGUUGAGACUUUUGCUUGCACGUUUUCCAAUGUGUUUGGCGAUCUUUAACUGAAGCCCAUAUUUGCGUUCCCCUCGCUAUCCAAUGUUGCAAUUUUGAUGUAUGAAUUGGACGUCGGGGAACAAAAUCU